rnacentral:lncRNA from 1 species
UGAUAUUUGCCAGUAAAUGAAUGGAACUGGAGACUAUCAUGCUAAGUGAAAUAAGCUAAUCCUCAAAAGUCAAAGAUCAAAUGUUUUCUCUGAAAUGCAGAAGCUAAUCCCAAAUAAAGAAUGGGGAAUAAAAAAAGAUUGAGAGAGAAUAGAAUAAAGAUCUAUGAUUAAGUUUUGAGGCACUGCUACUUUAGGAACAAAAAGCUUUCAAGCUUAAAUCAUUCUUAGUGUAAUGUUCUCCUAAAGACAAAUGGGAAUGUUUCUAGCUGAGAAGUUGAAAGGUGAGAAAAGGCUAAGCUAAAACUAUCCUCACAGUACAGUGUUUCACUUAAUGAUAAAUGGUACUGCUUCAACCUGAGAAGAUGAAAGAUUUUGCAUUUACUUUGAAGCACAGCAAAAGCCAAGUGCUCACUACUACUGAUUUCAGGUGUGUCUAAAUAAGUGGAGUAAAUGGUAGAGUACAAGCCAUUAUUACACUGAGAAAAAUGUCAUUACUUGUCUCUUUCUUCUGGAAAACACAUUUUGUGCUGCCAAGGAAAAUCUUGUUGUCCAUAGAAGAAAAUUCAAAAAAAAUUAAAUGCUUAAUCAAAUCAUCUUUUUAUUCUUUUUCAGAAGAAUAUUUUAGAAAAAAAAAGAUCAAAGCUCACCAAAAUUAUCAGUUUAUUACUUUCCAAAACCUUUUGUAAUUGAGUACUUGUAAUGUGAAGCAUCCAUCAAAGAAUUUCAAUUUAUUUUGCUUAAACAUGUCACAUCCAUAAAAAGAGAAAUUAUUUGCAUAGUUUGUUGAUCAGAUUUUGUGUACACAAAACAUCUUAAAAAUAGAAGAUGACUUGCUUUUAAGUGAAGAAAAGGGCAAGCAAGAAAGGAGAUAUGAGUCAGUAUUUGAAUAUAUGCAAGUGUCAGGAUGUCUAUCUCCCAGAUUUUCAUUCAAACAUUUCUCACAAAAGGAUUAUUUUUCAAUUUUCAUAAAGGAAUGGUCCACAUUUAUAUAUCUCCACUGGCUUAUGACCAGUGUUAUUAGAGAGUGAACAGAACAUUCAGUCAGUAUUAUCCUAGAAAUUAUAAUUCUUAAAAGAGUACUAUUCCACCAUCUACAAUGACAACACAACUGAGAUUGUAGAUAAACUAAAACUUAAAUAUCUAGAAAUGACUAGAAUAAUUAGUGCCCAUAAAACAUAUAAUAGCUCUCAAUUUCUUCUUAGAUAAACUAUAAAGUUGUUCUUAUUUAGCUAUAGAUCUUGCUCUAAUUAAAAAGAAAAUGCUCCUAACUUUCUCUUUCUAUUGGUUUAUUGACCUGACUUCCUACCAUAAUCUGUUCCCACAAUUAGACUUGUAAAAUCAACCAUUUUUCUUUGCCUACUAAGACUUUUCAGACUAGAAAUAAGGGGGAAAAGGACAAGGAAACACAUUAGCUUGGUGACCAAUUCCUGUCCAUUUCCAAUAUGAAAUAUUCCAGGAGAAACUGCCUUGGACACUCUGCUGAUGCCAUGUUCUGCCCUGUGUUAAAAAUGGCCAUCUGAAUCAGAUCUUGGCUUGCUGUGCCUUUUGAAUACAGUGCCAUGGACUGCUCAUGGAGACUGGUGAGUUCUGCCCAAAUGAAUCCCUAACAUUCCCAGUCCAUUCCCAAACCUUUGCACAUUCAAAGUAUUUCUUGACUCCUUUAGAAUAAAUUUUUAGUUUCUUCAUCAUUGUCAUGUGGGUGGAUACAGGUUGAUUAAAAUUAGACUGUGUUGCAUGUAGUUUAUAAAUCCCUGGCUAAUUAUUUUGUUUUCCUUUUUCUUUCUUCUAUUUUUUGAUGAUAAACUUUGACCAGGGAGGGUUGUAGGAUAAUAAUGGAAAAUGCUAAUUUUUAUUAGUUCUUAAAAAUACUAUUUAUUGUAUAAAAACCAUAAGUUGCUGGGGGUGUAACUCAGUGGUAGAACAUCUGCUUAGCAUUUUUGAGGCCCUGAGUUCAAUCUGCAGGACCAAAAUAAAUAAAUAAAUCAUAAGAGAGAAGAAUAUGCAUUGAAGCAUAUUCUUUACUCUUCCUGAUAUUUAUUUUGUCACUAUGCAAUUUAUCUGGCUAUAGUGAUCAGAUUUCUGUUAAAAGAAAUACAUUUAUCUAUAUGUAAGUCUAAUUGUGUGUAUACAAGCAUGCAUAAGUUGUGGUGAGCCAUUCUUAUAGACCGUGGCCGCCAUUAGAAGAUGGCGCCGGCUUCCACUGUGGCCUGUGAUAAACAACUCCUUUUUUGGAGAGUUGGCACGCAAUCCCUUACCACCCUAUGAGAGAGAUCCACGUGGCAGCUUGGGAUUGGUAUGCGGGAGGCUUUAUUAGGCUGUGUUUGGGCACUCGGUGGGGGGGUCACUAGAAGAUGAUACAUGAAUCAAGGCCUGAAUAAACUGCUGAAAGAAGAAUCCUGUGUCGUGUUUUCCCUUGCCGGCGAGGGGUCGCGACAAUAAGUGUGUGUAGAUAGAUAGAUAUGAAUCUGUAUUUAUUUUCUCUUUCUCACUGUGAUGUGUAGCCUAUCGGUUUAAUUCCCUUGGCAGUUGAAAGGGCUGCCUGAAGCUAUUCUUCAAUCCCAGCUGUAUUUUGGAAUUUUCUUGGCUAAGAAAGUUACCUAUCCCAAAGUCACAGUUUCUAAGAUACAUCAUAACUAAUGACUAUUCAAUGACAGAGCAUAAAAAUUACUUCCUCCCCCCAAAUAAUAAGAAUUCUGAAGGACUAUAUGAGUUUCUGGUUGCCUAUUGUUUCAGUGAGACGACGUUGUAGCCCAUCUUUUUUCUCUGAACUAUCUUAAUUCCUUCCUUCUGUCUCCAGGAUGCCAUUCUAAAAGUACUCCUGAUAAAUUUCUUUCAUGCUGAUCUUCAUCUCAGAGUCUACUUCCCAAAGCACUCAUGUUCUAAUACACUAUUCUAAAAAGUCAGUUUAAAAUACUUAAAUAGUAUUGUUAUUAAAGCCUGGAAUCUAGGGCUUUUUUAUUUUAAUAUUCAUGAAAGGUUCAGUUAGGAUAAUAGAAGCGUUACAGCUCCAUUUGUGCAAAANUCAAACUUACUCAUAAAUGAGUCAUUCCACUCAAUCAAUUAGAAUAAGAAGAGCAAGAGACUACAACUUAAAGUUUCAUUGGUAAAUUUCAAAGCUCAAUGAGUCUGAUGGAUAUAUAUCUGGAGAAAAGUCUAAUGAUUUCAUUUUUAUCUAUGCUUAAUCUUACAUCUAACAAAAGAAGGAUAAGGGAUAAAAAAUAUAACUGCAUGUGUUAUCUAUUAUCUGCACUCUAGUUAUAAUUAUUGGAAAAUUUGUCCCACAUGUCACUGGAAAUUGAGAUUCUAUUUUUGACAAAAGGCAUUCAAAUGGUUAUUUUCACACCAAACCCAAAAAUCACAUUUACAGAACACAUUUUAUUCCCUUAAAGCACCAUUGAUACUAAAGGCUCAGCAAACAAUCAAACUCUAUUUAAUUAUUCACCAUAAUGCUUUUUAGUAGAAAAUCAAGUUUUCUAGUUUUUAUUAGAUUUAUAUGGCUGGUUGUUAUCUUGUUAGAGCUUAGGCUUUCUUUAGAGAGGAAAUCAACAUAACUGGUGCUAUGAAAGCAAAAAUAAAGAUCUUUUGUUUCUGGAAAAACAAUAACUAUAAAAUCCAAUCAGAGUUUGUGAACUUUUGGAGCAAACUGCUUUGGGGGCUUAUUGAGGGUACCUCUUCACAAUUACAUCAUUCUGCCUUACUGUUUGUUCAUCUGAUUUUUUCCAUUCAAAUUACAACAUCCUUUACUUCUUGAAUGGUAUAAGCUUUUCUCUCUUGGUCUGCAGCAGGGGGAAUCCAGAAUAAGGAAAGAGCUGUUGGUUGAUUAAAAUUGACAUAAUAACAAUAACUAUCCUGCUUUGUACAUGAUCUUGAGUAUGCUUCUUUUUAAUAUAUAAAAACCAUAUGAUGAUGACACUUCUCUUUAUUCUUUUCAUUAUUUAUUCUUUUCCCAGUAUUUGUAACUGUAUUCUUAAAUGCUCAGACUUUUCUUUUUUAUAGAAUCUUCUUGACAGAUGCCAAAUUUAUUGCUAUGCACAAAAAAAGAGAUCCAUUGUGAAGUAUUAUAAGGUUAAAAAAAUCAGCUGAAUUGUAAAGAUAGAAAGUCAUACUCAAACUUUUAGACCACUUAGUGUGUGUUUCUGGAACUUGAGAGUGCAUAAGGAUCAAAAUAUUUUAUUAAAGACAGAACAGAGCUCCACCCACAGAAUUUCUAAUGGCAGCAUGAAGGUAGCUUAAAUUCAUUGGUGGGACUGUAACAGGGACCACUUUGGCAUUUAUACACAAUGGAAUAUUACUCAGCAUUAAAAAAGAACAAAUCAUGGCAUUUGCAGGUAAAUGGUGUUGGAGAAGAUAAUGCUAAGUGAACUCAGCCCAUCCCGAAAAAACAAAUUUCGAAUGUUUUCUCUGAUAUAACGGGGGUGACUCAUAGCGGGGUAGGGAGGGAGAGCAUGGGAGGAUUAGAUUAAUUCUAGAUAGGGAAGAGGGGUAAGAGAGAAAGGGAUGGGGAAGGAGGUUAGCAAGGAUGGUGGAAUGUGAUGGUCAUCAUUACACAAAGUAAAUGUAUGAAGACUUGAACUGGGUGUCAACAUACCUUAUAUACAAAUAGAGAUAUGAAGAAUUGUGUUAUAUAUGUGUGUUAAGAAUUGUAAUGCAAAAAAGUACAUGUAUAAUGACAUAAAUUGAUGUGAACAUACUUUAUAUACAGUUAUGAAAAAUUGUGUUCUAUAUGUGUAAUAAGGAUUGUAAUGCAUUCCACUGUUGUUGUGUAUUUAAAAAAUAAUAAAAUCAAUAAAAAAUAAACAAAAAAAGAACCAUUGCAUUGGAGCAAUUUUCUUGUAGACAUGUUUUCUCUUGCCUUGUCAUUAUGCACUAUAAUUUUUUUUUAAAUUUGUUCCCAAUGUUUAUCACUUGGAAGAUGUCACAAAAAGUUCUUUCCCUGGAUACUCUAACAAGAUAAAAUAAAAUAAAAAAUUAUGUCAGCAUGUGACUACAUUCACACAAAACAAGAAUCUUUUGAACCAAGCAGCAGCCACAUGCUAUCAAUGAGCUUCAUUGUGAUCAGUUACUCUGGCUUACUUGUCUUUUAUCUCUAAAUGUUCCAAGUACCAACAUUUUGAUAUACAGAGUUUCCAUUGUCACAUGUUUUCACAUUUUAAAAUUUCCAUUUUGAAUUCUAUUUUAAUUUAAUUUUUAUUUAUUGAAUUUUAUUUUAUUUAAUUUUAUUAAUUUAAUUUUUAUGUAUUGAAUUCCAUUUUUAUUUUAUUUCUCUUUAAUAUAUGUGUUAUUUAGUAGUGUGUUUUGUCUGAAUAUUUGUAUCAAUUGCUCUAUGUGUGUAUACGUGUAUAUAUACAUAUAUAUAUAUAUAUAUAUAUUUACAUAUAUGUGCAAUGUAUACAUAUAUAUGAAACUAUUUUUAGUCAUUGUUUCUAUUAUGUUUAGAAAAUAUGUUCUGUAUAGUUUUAUGAAGGACAUAUUAUUAUACUUAUUUUUAAAAAUUUUUGAGAAUUCUCACAUGCAGUUUAAAAUGUCAGUUUUUGCAAAUGUUCCAUAAGCAUCAAAAGAAUAAUGUCUGUUGAUUUGGACGUUCAUUAUAGAUCAAUUAAAUCAUACUUGCUUUUUAUUUUACAAGUAUUCUAUAGAUAAUCAUUGUUUUUCUCCUUAUAUUAAUUUCCUCCAUGCAAUUGUGGGUAUGUUAAUUUAUACUUAAAUUGUUUUAUUUUUGCUCCAUUGAAUUGCCCCAGUGUUGGAAAUAAUAUAUUUCUACCAACACAUUUUUUCCAGUUUUUAAACUUCUAAAAAAUGUAAUAAUGCAAUUUGCAUUUUAUUGUACCUGACUUAUUUGCUAAAAGUAUUUUUGAGACUCACCCAAGUGAUUUUACUCAUCAGAGGUCCAUUUUUUAAAAAAAUUGUAGUAUUCUAUUGUUUGACUAUACCACAAUAGUUCUUUAUCUUCCCAUUUGCUGUUUAUUCCAAUGUUUAUCCAUUUAGGUUAGAUCAUGUUCUUAGUUCUAUUAGUUAGUGACUGCUUUGCUCCUUUUAUCUGCAUAGUAUGCAUACAUUCUAAAAAAGUACAAGUGCUGACUUUGUCAAAGUUUUUGCUAUUACUAAAUUAUUGACUUAAUGAGCAUCAUAAAGAAAGCAAUUCCUCACAACCUGUUUUGACUGUUAGUCAGCUACUUACUUAGUAAGUAUAUUGAGUAUAUAUAUAUAUAUAUAUAUAUAUAUAUAUAUAUAUAUAUAUAUAUAUAUAUGACUCUAGAAAUGCUGAAAUCAAUUAGUUCCUUGUGACACUGAAUAUGUAGAAUUUUUAUGAUGUGAGUUUAGUGCUGUGAAUCAAUAACUAAAAUUUGUGGUAAACUCCUUAAAGGCACAAAAUAGGAGGUAAAUAUCAGUAGGUGUUCAAAUGCAUGACAAGUUUCAUCUUGGUGAAGAAAAAGAGCCUUCCUUGAAAUUGUAGUCCAGAAAUUUGGUGGUGAGAUGGUUAUGAUCUGAAUGAUCAAACAUUGGAGAAAAGAGGAAAUAUUUAAUUUAGAAAAAAAAUAAUAUAAAUAGAAGCAUCUAUGUAGAACAUUUUGUUAUUAAAUGCACAAAAUUAUAUGCAUAAAAUUCUACAAUUUUUGUAAGAUAUGUUCAAUGGCUAUGUAAAAUCCAAAGAUUGUAAAGCUUUUAGUAGUAAUUUGAAAAAUCAACACAUAAGGUAGGGAGAACAGUUCCUACAGUGUGCCUGAAAUGGAAAAGGUAUGAAAAAUGGUAAUGGGACAUAAGAUUACAGUAUAGAUUGAGAUUAUCUCUUGAUUCAGAAUAAGUUAAAUUUCUCAUGAGCCUUUCUGAUUUGUACUUUUGAAAACUAGAAUGUAAUGCUUAAUUCAUUUUCCCAUAAAGGCAGAAAACAGUGACUUGCCUGAUACCUUACUUAGGUAGACCAAGAACUCAUCAGAGGUAUGUGAGUAAAUAUUGAUUCAGUGUAAAUGAUGUGAUGGUAAUUACAGUCCAAAGGAAGAUUUAACUGAGCUAACCUUGCAGGGCAGGGUGAUACAUGCUGCAAUUAACUGGCAUAGCUUCACAAGAAUCUCGUAACAUGGACAAAAGUCCUGCUUACUAGACAAACAAGAAAAAUAUAUGUUAUAGGUCUGGUCAUAGCAAUAACAGUAGCUGUAUUUGUUUUAGUUAGUGACAUGCUGUAAGGCAGCCUAGUGAUAAUGUAAUAAUGCUAGAUGCUUUUUAUGGACAUUAUAACACAUUUUUAUACUAGAGGAAUUAUUGAGUUGUAAUUAUUACUGUUUUGUUUUGCAAUUAUUUUAUCUAUUUGAACUAAACUCCCUUCAAAAUGCAGUAUUGAAGAAAAAAAAAAUGACUCAAAUUCAAAUGGUUGAAAAUCCUGGCUAAUAAACAAUAGUAUCCAGAUUAAAAAUUCAGCUUUUUAUUGAAAGUUAAGAGUUAGGGAAAUUUUAGAAGUGUUAACAUUGAGCUUAUGAUUCUCAUUAUCUGUUGUUUUAUAAUAAA